rnacentral:rRNA from 1 species
GGACCUGAAUUACUCCUACGGGAGGCAGCAGUGGGGAAUAUUGCACAAUGGGGGAAACCCUGAUGCAGCCAUGCCGCGUGUAUGAAGAAGGCCUUAGGGUUGUAAAGUACUUUCGGUGAUGAGGAAGUUAUGUGUGGGAUAAGCACAUAUAAUUGACGUUAGUUACAGAAGAAGCACCGGCUAACUCCGUGCCAGCAGCCGCGGUAAUAAU